rnacentral:lncRNA from 10 species
GGAGGAUGGCCCUCCGGCUGAGGUUUGUGUCCCCAGAGCAGUGUCAGGAUGCUUCCAGUUUGGGAGCGAUGCUCCCAGGGCGGAGCUGGGGGGACAGAGAUUGCGGGGAGAGAGCCCAGGACGCAUCCCUGGUUUCUGCCUAAGCAGCUUGAGGAGGAAAUCAGGAGCCGAGGGCGGCAGCACGUGACUGGCAGACUAUGGGGAGACUCAAGUGAAUCUUCCCGAACUCUGCAAACCAUCCUUUUCUCAGAAGAAGUGACAGCGGGAGCGUUCCAGCCCUGCCCUUGUCCUCCACACCCCGGGGCUCCUGGGCUGACAGUGCUGCUGCCCAGGGCUGAGCUGGGUCUGUACCUGCCAGGUCGCAGCUCCCUGAGGGCGGGGACGUGCGACUCAUCUCUGUGUCUCCAGGGCCCCGCCUGAGCCGUGCACAGUGG